rnacentral:lncRNA from 1 species
GGCGGAGGGAUCGUGGACAGGUGAAAAGUCCUGAUGUGCAGCCACAUAAAGGCCCCGGGUCCCCACUGUUCCGGUCAGGCUCCUAUGGAGCCUCAGUGGGAAGCGGACUGCCGGGCACGCGGUUCAGCUGCGCCGACAGCCAGUUGGGUAAACUACCAGGUAACGCAGGAGACACACGAGUAGCGUCUGCCCCUCCCUCUCGCUUCUCUUCGCUCCCCUCCUCCUGUCCCCAAGGAAUGAACUGGAACAGCCUGCCCACGUUUAGUGUCCUGCCACCACCCCGAGGCUGCCCCAGGACUGCUCUCUGCACUGCUCUGACAGGUGCAGCUCAGGCGUCAGCCACGGCACACCCCACUCCUGCCGUCAGCUGCCGGUGCCUCCUCUUUGAAGCAGAAGAGAGGACCACGCUAACAUGACUAAGGUGAGGCCCUGUACUAGCACCUCCAGCCUCCUCAAGCCUCUAGCUGUAAUGAACACAGCCAGCCCUCCAGAAGAUGCAAAUCUAUAGGGUACGAUAUUCAAUAGGAAAUAACAGACAUGCAAGAAAGCAAGGAAGUGUGGCCUGUAAUGAAAAUAGUAAACCCCUUUAAUAUGUUCCCGCC